rnacentral:rRNA from 1 species
AUGGCUCAGGAUGAACGCUGGCGGCAGGCUAAUACAUGCAAGUCGAACGGUAACGACCGGUAGCAAUACUGGGGCGACGAGUGGCGCACGGGUGCGUAACGCGUAUGCAACCUGCCCUCAACCGGGACACAACGCCGAGAAAUUGGCGCUAAUAUCCCAUGUGUACAGGAGACGGCAUCGUUUUCUAUAUAAAGAUUUAUUGGUUGAGGAUGGGCAUGCGUAACAUUAGCUAGUUGGCGGGGUAACGGCUCACCAAGGCGACGAUGUUUAGGGGUUCUGAGAGGAUUCACCCCCACACUGGAACUGAGACACGGUCCAGACUCCUACGGGAGGCAGCGGUAGGGAAUAUUGGGCAAUGGAGGCAACUCUGACCCAGCCAUGCCGCGUGAAGGAAGACGGCCCUAUGGGUUGUAAACUUCUUUUGCCGCAGAGUAACCGCGGGGACGCGUCCCCGCCUGAGAGUAUGCGGCGAAUAAGUAUCGGCUAACUCCGUGCCAGCCGCUGC